GAGUGAGUGAGUUCUUCCUCUUGUGGGAAUGGAUUAGUUCCCGAGAGAGCAGGUUGUUAUAAAACCAGGAAGCCCCUUGGGUUUUGCUUCUUUACACGUGUCUGCUUCCCCUUCAACCUUCUCCACCAUGCUACGAGGCCAGGCAGAUGCUGGCACCAUGCCCUCGAACUUCUCAGCAUGCAGAGCCGUAAGGUAAAUAAACCUCUUUUCUUGACUGGGCAUGGUGGUUCACGCCUGUAAUCCCAGAGUGCUGGGAUGACACGUGUGAGCCAUCAUACCAGGCCCCUGUGUUGAUGUCCUAACUUCCAAUGUGAUAGGAUUAGGAGGUGGGGCUUUUAGGGGGGUUCUUAGGUCAUGAGGGUAGAGUCCUCAUGAAUGGGAUUAGGGCCCUUCUAAGGGGGCCCCACAGAGCUGCCUCACCCUCUUUCCGCCAUAUGAGAAUGCAAUGAGAAGACAGCAGUCUGCAACCGGAAAGAGGGGCCCCACUAGAACCCAACCAUGCUGGCACUGUGAUUUCGAACUUCAGUCUCUGGAACUGGGAGAAAUCAAUUUCUGCUGUUUUGAAGCUGCCCGGUCUACGGUAUAUUGUUAGAGCAGCCGGAACACACCAAUACGGGCAUAUCCUUCCAGCGGAGAAAUGGAACUCUUCUCUGGUGAUAACAAACCAAGAAUACAGAGAGUCAUAGGAC
rnacentral:lncRNA from 1 species